GAUGAGUGAUUUGGUCCAAUUUGUUCCAGACAGACUGCUUAAUGUUCUGAAUAUGGAGAAGGACCGCAGGGAGGCAGGACGAUAGGAAGGUGAACAAGCAAGCGUGCAAAGAAAAACAAACCAAGUGACAUUCAGACAGAGAAAUGAGGGUGUAAAUGCUUUCUGAGGUUAACCAGUUGUAAUAUUCCAGUUAUGAAAAUGAGUACGAACAAACGAAAACAAACAAACGAAAGGAAAGAAGCAAGCGAGCAAACGAUAAGAAACAAGCGAGCAAGUGAGAAGACAGAAGCAAACGAAAGGAAAGAAACAAGCGAGCAAAGGGGGGGGAAGAGACAAACGAAAAGAAGCAAAGGAAAGAAGCAAGUGAGCAAGUGAGAAGACAGAAGCAAUGAAAGGAAAGAAGCAAGCGAGCAAACGGGGGGAAAAGAUACAAACGAAAGGAAAGAAGCAAGCGAGCAAACGAAAAGAAACAAGCGAGCAAGUGAGAAGACAGAAGCAAACGAAAGGAAAGAAGCAAGCGAGCAAACGGGGGGGAAAGAUACAAACGAAAAGAAGCAAACGAAAGGAAAGAAACAGGCGGGCAAACGAAAGGAAAUAAGCAAGCGUGCAAACGGGGGGGGAGUGACAAACGAAAAGAAGCAAACGAAAGGAAAGAAGCAAGCGAGCAAACGAAAAGAAACAUGCAAGCAAACGAAAAGAAACAAGCGAGCAAGUGAGAAGACAGAAGCAAACGAAAGGAAAGAAACAAGCGAGCAAACGGGGGGGAAAGUGACAAACGAAAAGAAGCAAACGAAAGGAAAGAAAGAGGCGGGCAAACGAAAGGAAAGAAGCAAGCGUGCAAACGGGGGGGGGGAGUGACAAACGAAAAGAACAUGCGAGCAAACGAAAAGAAAGAAGCAAAUGAAAGGAACGAAGCAAGCGAGCAAACGGAAAAGAAGUAAACGAGCAAACAGAAGGAAAGAAGCGGAUGAAAGGAAAAGACAAGCGAGCAAACGAAAGGAAAAACAACAAAAGAAAAAGAAACCAAAAUAAGAGUGGAAAUUAUUUGCUAUGUUGCCCAUGCGUAAUAUUCCAGAUAUGAAAAUGAAAGAAAGAAACAAAUAAAUUUAAAAAAGGGGAAACAUUAUUUUUGUCAAAUUUAGUUUUAAUCAUAUGAAUGAAAUGAACGUGUGUGUAAGAGAGAUAGAGAGAGAGAGAGAGAGAGAGAAAUAAACCUCAGUGGAGGAGGAGUAGCAGAAACAUUCUCGGUGUACUCUCAGCUGGAAUCAGAAUGAUUAUUUUGCUUAUUUAACACAAGAACAGCAAAGAACGACAGAAGAUCACACGGCAUAAGACAUAACGAAUGUAUUAAUCUUCAAUGACGGUUGUUCUAGAUCAUUGAUCACGAACCCUG
ensembl:lncRNA